UGGGGUUGGGGAUGGUUACUUGGAGGGGAUGGGGAGGGUCAGGUUGUGGGGAUGGUCAACUGGUGGAGGUGGGCAUGGUCAACUGGUGGGGAUGGUCAACUGGUGGAGGUGGGCAUGGUCAACUGGUGGGGGUGGUCAACUGGUGGGGAUGGGCAUGGUCAACUGGUGGAGUUGGGGAUGGUCAACUGGUGGGGGUGGUCAACUGGUGGGGUUGGAGAGGGUCAACUGGUGAGGGUGGUCAACUGGUGGGGAUGGGCAUGGUCAACUGCUGGGGAUGGGCAUGGUCAACUGGUGGGGAUGGUCAACCGGUGGAGGUGGGCAUGGUCAACUGGUGGGAAUGGGGAGCACCAACUGGUGGAGUUGGGGAUGGUCAACUGGUGGGGAUGGGGAGCACCAACUGGUGGAGUUGGAGAUGGUCAACUGGUAGGAAUGGGCAUGGUCAGCUGGUGGGGAUGGUCAACUGGUGGGGAUGGGCAUGGUCAACUGGUGGAGUUGGGGAUGGUCAGCUGGUGGGGGUGGUCAACUGGUGGGGAUGGUCAACUGGUAGGGGUGGAGAGGGUCAACUGGUAGGGGUGGUCAACUGGUGGAGGUGGAGAUGGUCAACUGGUGGGGAUGAGGAGCACCAACUGGUGGAGUUGGAGAUGGUCAACUGGUGGGAAUGGGCAUGGUCAGCUGGUGGGGAUGGUCAACUGGUGGGGAUGACCAACUGGUAG
rnacentral:lncRNA from 1 species